rnacentral:rRNA from 2 species
UAGGGAAUCUUCCGCAAUGGGCGAAAGCCUGAUGGAGCAACGCCGCGUGAGUGAUGAAGGUCUUCGGAUCGUAAAACUCUGUUAUUAGGGAAGAACAAAUGUGUAAGUAACUAUGCACGUCUUGACGGUACCUAAUCAGAAAGCCACGGCUAACUACGUGCCAGCAGCCGCGGUAAUACGUAGGUGGCAAGCGUUAUCCGGAAUUAUUGGGCGUAAAGCGCGCGUAGGCGGUUUUUUAAGUCUGAUGUGAAAGCCCACGGCUCAACCGUGGAGGGUCAUUGGAAACUGGAAAACUUGAGUGCAGAAGAGGAAAGUGGAAUUCCAUGUGUAGCGGUGAAAUGCGCAGAGAUAUGGAGGAACACCAGUGGCGAAGGCGACUUUCUGGUCUGUAACUGACGCUGAUGUGCGAAAGCGUGGGGAUCAAACAGG